AAGAACUGAAGAACAAUACUCGUUGAAAGGGUUAGGAACCAAACAAUCAAACAAUAGGUCAAUAGUAUACUGUAUACACACAAACAAAAAAACAAAAAAUUUGUCUCAUCUAUUCAACAGUCAUACAAUUAAACAAACAAGUAAAACCAUGGAAUCAUAAAAUUGCAGCAAUUCAAUGGAAUCAUGGAACUAAAGCAAGGCUGUAAGGGCCUCAUCAAAAAAAAAAACCAAAAGAAAGAAGAAGAAAAUGCCUGGUAAUAUGAACAAGGAUUAUGGAGGAGAACUAAUCCUUGAAUUCUUGAAACAUGCCUUUUCUGGAAAAAAAAGAGCCAAUAUUAUGGAAGAGAACUAGAGAAGAAUAGAAUCCUUAAAACGUGCCUUUUUCUGCAAGCAAAACCUUGGCCGAUUUGUCGCAAUAGAUUAAUAGAAUUAUG
rnacentral:lncRNA from 1 species